GACGAACCGUGCGAACGUUGUUCGGAAUCACUGGGCUUAAAGGGCGCGUAGGCGGGUCGGCAAGUCCGGGGGUGAAAGCCCCCGGCUCAACCGGGGAACUGCCUGGGAUACUGCCGGCCUGGGGGGGGGGUAGGGGCGCCUGGAACACUGGGUGGAGCGGUGAAAUGCGUUGAUAUCCAGUGGAACUCCGGUGGCGAAAGCGAGGCGCUGGGCCCCCAUCCGACGCUGAGGCGCGAAAGCCAGGGGAGCGAACGGGGA
rnacentral:rRNA from 1 species